UUUCUUUAACAUCGAGCAACGUCUGAAAACAGUUUGUAGGGAUGUUAUUCUGCUUUGUACUUUAUCCGUGCAGCAUUAAUUACCACUAAACUGUUGAACUAUUUAUGCAAUUAAUAUUUAAUUAGUUGCAUCAUAGCAAUCUAAACCAUUGAGAAUUAUCACAGCUUUCUAGUUAACUUAUAAUCAGCUGCAUUGCCAGUUUUAUAUAAAGCCACUUCAGGUAUGCAUGGGCAUAUAUUUAUUUUGUUAUGAAAUAAAUUAUUUGUGUAUAUGUGGCUUACAACUCAUUUAUCUCAAUUGUUUUCCCAAAAUAUCUGGUUUCGUACCUGUUUCAAUUUGAAAACUGUUCAUCAAAAGACUCACACCAUCAUUGCCCAUUCCUAAAUGUUACAAAUUUGAUUUUGCAGUAAGUUAUUGUAGAUUUUUUCUCUCCUGUUAAACAGUAUUUCUUUAAAGUUAUCAGAUCCAUUGCUACUGUACUCAGGAACUGUUUCAGACCUUAACCAGAGCAGUACAAAUUUUAACAUCUAGUGAAUUGAAUGAAGUGAAUUUCAGACUCCUUGAUAAAAACAAAUGUAAUUUUUUAUCAGUUUUAGGACCUUUUUAGCGGUUUUAGCACCUAGCACAGAUCUUUGACGUACACACAAGCACCCUCCAGUAAAUCAGAGGCAGCAUUUAUCUGUGCAUACUGAUGUUUUAGUUUAUUACCUUCUUUCAAAGUCUCUUUAAAAUAUAUGAUCAAGUCUUAAAAUACAAGGAUUUAGGCCUUAACACAGCUGUAAUGUGUGCAUUUACACUUUAACUGAACGGCCAAAAUGUAAAAAUUAUGAGCCACCAAACAAUGCAAAUAAAAUGUUGUUGUAAACAAUGCAAUACUCACACAACUUGUCAGUUGUCAUGUCAGAAUUAGUAUUUAUAAAUGAAACAAAACUUUAUUAUAAAUCACAAACUUGUGGUUGCAGAUUUGAUCAAACAUAAGCGUAUAUAUCGGGGGGGCGACUGCAGUCACGGCCCCAAAGGAUGCCCUGUGGCUAUCUCCCAGCCUGGAUUUGCUGUCUUUGGAGGGCCGAAAGAAACCACAGGUGGAGAAAAUCCCCCCCUCCCAGCAGCAGGAUCCACAGUCAUAUUGUGUCUCGAGUCGUUCAGAUACCUCCUCUGCGCUCACAUAAAUCACUCUGCCCUCUAUAUGUGCUGCAGUAAAAUUAUAACCAGAACUCUGGUGGGUUGAGCGGCAGUGCUGAGCCGCUGUCCAACCCCGUCAUUUUGGUCAUGUCCUACUGAGUGCUGCUACUAGGAAUCUGGUGGCAUUAAAGAAUGGUCUCCCCAAGAAGGGGAGGGGGUGGUUAGAGCAGUAUCCAAGUGUUUAAGACGGAACUAAGCCACAAAUUAUUAUCGCUGUGAAAAUUCAGGCAAAACAAAAGGAGGGGAGCAAACGAUUGUGGGCGACGACUUUCUGACUUCAUCCAUGAGGCCUUGAAGCUGUAACAUAACCCCGUGGCUGUGGGAACGGUGGGAAUAUACCGGUACAAAGUAGUCUUUGCACUUUGUUUUUUUGAUCAGGAAAACAGCAAGACCUGAGAUUCCAUUUUAGACACGCGGAUGGUCCAAACAAAACAAAAUAGUGCUCUUUGAUGAGCGGGAAGUCUAGGGCGGCUAUCCCGAGGCAUCCUUGACAGCUGAAAGCACAGGAACCAGACUGCGAGAGCCAAGCAGAGUUCAGAGGAGGUGUUGGGACAGAGACACUAAGGCGAAAAAAGCUGAGGAGCAGAGGAACAGAGCAGGAGCCGCAGCUAGGGCAGAGGAUGAACGGCCCUAAUCUCUCCUCUGGGCGUCUUCACGCAGGAAUACUCAUACCUCCAUCAGCCCCAGUCCCAUUCCUCAAGUGCAUUCACUUUUCUGCAGAAAUGGCUCUGAGUGACGGCUCUGCUGGCAUGCAGGGUCGGGGGCUCGGAGAGUUCAGCAGAAUCAGAUCGCCAAUAAGAUGUGCACUCCUGCAAACUAAUUAUUUUUUUUUUUUUUACAUGCUGACUCACCUGAGUAAAAACAUAAAUAUGUUUUUUAUUACAUCAGUGAUGAUCAUAUAAUGUUCUUCUGUGAUCUUGCUUUACACUGUGAGUGGGAGAGGCUUAUUGCUGAAGAAUCUGUAGUAAAACGCUGCUCUUAAAUAAAUAUAGUUAUGGUAA